GUGAACGCUGGCGGUAGGCCUAACACAUGCAAGUCGAACGGCAGCACAGUAAGAGCUUGCUCUUACGGGUGGCGAGUGGCGGACGGGUGAGGAAUACAUCGGAAUCUACUUUUUCGUGGGGGAUAAUGUAGGGAAACUUACGCUAAUACCGCAUACGACCUACGGGUGAAAGCAGGGGAUCUUCGGACCUUGCGCGAUUGAAUGAGCCGAUGUCGGAUUAGCUAGUUGGCGGGGUAAAGGCCCACCAAGGCGACGAUCCGUAGCUGGUCUGAGAGGAUGAUCAGCCACACUGGAACUGAGACACGGUCCAGACUCCUACGGGAGGCGGCAGUGGGGAAUAUUGGACAAUGGGCGCAAGCCUGAUCCAGCCAUACCGCGUGGGUGAAGAAGGCCUUCAGGUUGUAAAGCCCUUUUGUUGGGAAAGAAAAGCAGCAGGUUAAUACCCCGCUGUUCUGACGGUACCCAAAGAAUAAGCACCGGCUAACUUCGUG
rnacentral:rRNA from 1 species